AGCGAACGCUGGCGGCAGGCUUAACACAUGCAAGUCGAGCGGGCGUAGCAAUACGUCAGCGGCAGACGGGUGAGUAACGCGUGGGAACGUACCUUUUGGUUCGGAACAACACAGGGAAACUUGUGCUAAUACCGGAUAAGCCCUUACGGGGAAAGAUUUAUCGCCGAAAGAUCGGCCCGCGUCUGAUUAGCUAGUUGGUGAGGUAACGGCUCACCAAGGCGACGAUCAGUAGCUGGUCUGAGAGGAUGAUCAGCCACAUUGGGACUGAGACACGGCCCAAACUCCUACGGGAGGCAGCAGUGGGGAAUAUUGGACAAUGGGCGCAAGCCUGAUCCAGCCAUGCCGCGUGAGUGAUGAAGGCCCUAGGGUUGUAAAGCUCUUUUGUGCGGGAAGAUAAUGACGGUACCGCAAGAAUAAGCCCGGCUAACUCGUGCCAGCAGCCGCGGUAAAAGUCACGUGG
rnacentral:rRNA from 1 species